AUGGAGCCGACCUUGAAAUACCACCCUUUAAUGUUUGAUGUUCUAACGUUGACCCGUAAUCCGGGUUGCGGACAGUGUCUGGUGGGUAGUUUGACUGGGGCGGUCUCCUCCUAAAGAGUAACGGAGGAGCACGAAGGUUGGCUAAUCCUGGUCGGACAUCAGGAGGUUAGUGCAAUGGCAUAAGCCAGCUUGACUGCGAGCGUGACGGCGCGAGCAGGUGCGAAAGCAGGUCAUAGUGAUCCGGUGGUUCUGAAUGGAAGGGCCAUCGCUCAACGGAUAAAAGGUACUCCGGGGAUAACAGGCUGAUACCGCCCAAGAGUUCAUAUCGACGGCGGUGUUUGGCACCUCGAUGUCGGCUCAUCACAUCCUGGGGCUGAAGUAGGUCCCAAGGGUAUGGCUGUUCGCCAUUUAAAGUGGUACGCGAGCUGGGUUUAGAACGUCGUGAGACAGUUCGGUCCCUAUCUGCCGUGGGCGCUGGAGAACUGAGGGGGGCUGCUCCUAGUACGAGAGGACCGGAGUGGACGCAUCACUGGUGUUCGGGUUGUCAUGCCAAUGGCACUGCCCGGUAGCUAAAUGCGGAAGAGAUAAGUGCUGAAAGCAUCUAAGCACGAAACUUGCCC
rnacentral:rRNA from 1 species